GGCUCAGAACGAACGCGGGCGGCGUGCCUAACACAUGCAAGUCGAACGGAGUUGAGGGGCUUGCUCCUCAAUUUAGUGGCGCACGGGUGAGUAACGCGUAGAUAAUCUGCCUGAUGAUCUGGGAUAACACUUCGAAAGGGGUGCUAAUACCGGAUAAGCCCACGGGGUCUUUGGAUUCUGCGGGAAAAGGGGGGGACCUUCGGGCCUUCUGUCAUCAGAUGAGUCUGCGUACCAUUAGCUAGUUGGUAGGGUAAUGGCCUACCAAGGCUACGAUGGUUAGCUGGUUUGAGAGAAUGAUCAGCCACACUGGAACUGAGACACGGUCCAGACUCCUACGGGAGGCAGCAGUGGGGAAUUUUGCGCAAUGGGCGAAAGCCUGACGCAGCAACGCCGCGUGAGUGAUGAAGGCUUUCGGGUCGUAAAGCUCUGUCGAGGGGAAAGAAGUGUAUUGUGGCUAAUAUCCACGAUACUUGACGGUACCCCUAAAGGAAGCACCGGCUAACUCCGUGCCAGCAGCCGCGGUAAUACGGGGGGUGCAAGCGUUGUUCGGAAUUAUUGGGCGUAAAGAGCGUGUAGGCGGUUUGUUAAGUCUGUUGUGAAAGCCCUGGGCUCAACCCAGGAAGUGCACUGGAUACUGGCAGACUUGAAUACGGGAGAGGGUAGUGGAAUUCCUAGUGUAGGAGUGAAAUCCGUAGAUAUUAGGAGGAACACCGGUGGCGAAGGCGGCUACCUGGACCGAUAUUGACGCUGAGACGCGAAAGCGUGGGUAGCAAACAGGAUUAGAUACCCUGGUAGUCCACGCCGUAAACGAUGAGAACUAGGUGUUGCGGGUAUUGACCCCUGCAGUGCCGCAGCUAACGCAUUAAGUUCUCCGCCUGGGGAGUACGGUCGCAAGACUAAAACU
rnacentral:rRNA from 1 species